rnacentral:tRNA from 1 species
GUGGCUGUAGCUCAGUUGGUAGAGCCCCGGAUUGUGAUUCCGGUUGUCGUGGGUUCAAAUCCCAUCAGCCACC